rnacentral:tRNA from 1 species
GCCCAUGUAGCUCAGCAGGUAGAGCGCCGCCAUGGUAAGGCGGAGGUCAUCGGUUCAAAUCCGAUCGUGGGCUCCA